CAAUAGCGUAUAUUAAAGUUGUUGCGGUAAAAAGCUCGUAGUUGGAUUUCUGUUGAAGACGUCCGGUCCAUACCACGUAUGCGCAUCUGGCUCGGCUUCGGCAUCCUCUCGAAAGACGUUUCUGCGCUUGAUUGCGUGGAGCGGAUCUCGGGACUUUUACUUUGAGGAAAUUAGAGUGUUCACGGCAGGCUAUCGCCAGAAUACAUUAGCAUGGAAUAAUACUAUAGGAUCUCGGUUCUAUUUUGUUGGUUUCUAGAACUAAGGUAAUGAUUAAUAGGGAUAAUUGGGGCAGUCUGUAUUAAUCAACAGCUCAGAGGAUGGAAGAUUCUUGGAUUGUGUUACGACAAACUACUGCGAAAGCAUUUGCCAAGGAUGUUUUCAUUGAUCAAGAACGAAAGUAAGGGGAUCGAAGAUGAUUAGAUACCA
rnacentral:rRNA from 1 species